CUACUGAGACUGUGUGACCUGUGGGCUUCCCUUUGUCAUCCUAUGCCUGGAGAUCACAGUGAGGCAGGGACAGCAAAGGGAUGCUCAGCUGUCGUCUCUUC
ensembl:miRNA